rnacentral:rRNA from 1 species
CAAACGACUCUCGGCAAGGGAUAUCUUGGCUCUCGCAUCGAUGAAGAACGUAGCAAAAUGCGAUACCUGGUGUGAAUUGCAGAAUCCCGUGAACCAUCGAGUUUUUGAACGCAAGUUGCGCCCGAGGCCUUCUGGCCGAGGGCACGUCUGCCUGGGCGUCACG